UACGAAGGGGGCUAGCGUUGUUCGGAAUCACUGGGCGUAAAGCGCGCGCAGGCGGAUUGAUAAGUCAGGGGUGAAAUCCCGGAGCUCAACUUCGGAAUUGCCUUUGAUACUGUCUGUCUUGAGUCCGGGAGAGGUGAGUGGAAUUCCUAGUGUAGAGGUGAAAUUCGUAGAUAUUAGGAAGAACACCAGUGGCGAAGGCGGCUCACUGGCCCGGUACUGACGCUCAUGUGCGAAAGCGUGGGGAGCAAACAGG
rnacentral:rRNA from 1 species